GAUUUCAGCUGAAAAAGUCAUCAACAACAAAGUUGUAUAACUCAUCAAGAUAUAUAACUUCUAUUUUGGUCAUUUCUUCAUCCGACAAAGUGAUAGUAACAAUUUCACAAAAUAUAUAAAUCUCUCUUAUAGUUUAUAAAACUAUAUAAGAGAUAUGUACAUUUUGUGAACAACCUUACAAAUCACUUUAUUGGAUGAAGAAAUGACCAAAAUAAAAGUUAUACAUCUUGAUGAGUUAUACCACUUUGUUAUUGAAAACUUUUUCAGUUGAAAUC
rnacentral:pre_miRNA from 1 species